rnacentral:rRNA from 1 species
AUUGAACGCUGGCGGCAUGCCUUACACAUGCAAGUCGAACGGUAACGGGCCUUCGGGUGCCGACGAGUGGCGAACGGGUGAGUAAUGCAUCGGAACGUACCUUUCAGUGGGGGAUAACGUAGCGAAAGUUACGCUAAUACCGCAUAUUCUGUGAGCAGGAAAGCAGGGGAUCGCAAGACCUUGCGCUGAUUGAGCGGCCGAUGUCAGAUUAGCUAGUUGGUGAGGUAAAGGCUCACCAAGGCGACGAUCUGUAGCGGGUCUGAGAGGAUGAUCCGCCACACUGGAACUGAGACACGGUCCAGACUCCUACGGGAGGCAGCAGUGGGAAUUUUGGACAAUGGGGGCAACCCUGAUCCAGCCAUGCCGCGUGAGUGAAGAA